rnacentral:rRNA from 1 species
UACGUAGGGUGCGAGCGUUAAUCGGGAUUACUGGGCGUAAAGCGUGCGCAGGCGGUGAUGUAAGACAGGUGUGAAAUCCCCGGGCUUAACCUGGGAACUGCAUUUGUGACUGCAUCGCUGGAGUGCGGCAGAGGGGGAUGGAAUUCCGCGUGUAGCAGUGAAAUGCGUAGAUAUGCGGAGGAACACCGAUGGCGAAGGCAAUCCCCUGGGCCUGCACUGACGCUCAUGCACGAAAGCGUGGGGAGCAAACAGG